GGACAAUCUGCCCUGAAGAGGAGGAUAAUCCCGGGAAACUGGGGGUAAUACUCCAUAGUUCGUGCUGACUGGAAUGUUAUGCGAACGAAAGAUCCGUCGCUUCAGGAUGAGUCUGCGGCCGAUUAGGUAGUUGUUGGGGUAACGGCCCAACAAGCCUGUCAUCGGUACGGGUUGUGGGAGCAAGAGCCCGGAGAUGGAUUCUGAGACACGAAUCCAGGCCCUACGGGGCGCAGCAGGCGCGAAAACUUUACCAUGCGGGCAACCGUGAUAAGGAAACCCCGAGUGCCAGCACAGGCUGGCUGUCCACCAGUGUAAAUAACUGGUGAAGAAAGGGCCGGGCAAGACCGGUGCCAGCCGCCGCGGUAAUACCGGCGGCUCGAGUGGUGGCCGCUAUUACUGGGCUUAAAGGGUCCGUAGCUGGAUAUACAAGUCCCUUGAGAAAUCCGCCGGCUUAACCGGUGGGCGUUCAGGGGAAACUGUAUUUCUAGGGACCGGGAGAGGUGAGAGGUACUGCCGGGGUAGGAGUGAAAUCCUGUAAUCCCGGUGGGACCACCUAUGGCGAAGGCGUCUCACCAGAACGGACCUGACGGCAAGGGACGAAAGCUAGGGGCACGAACCGGAUUAGAUACCCGGGUAGUCCUAGCCGUAAACGAUACUCGCUAGGUGUCGGCCACGGUGCGACCGUUGUCGGUGCCGUAGGGAAGCCGUGAAGCGAGCCACCUGGGAAGUACGGCCGCAAGGCUGAAACUUAA
rnacentral:rRNA from 1 species